UCUUAUAUUAGUUUACAGAGGAGUACUUAAGAAGUUCACCCCCACUACUUGGUUUAUCUCAACAUGCAGCAUAGACACAUCAGCAUCCAGUUACGUGACACCUCAUGCAGUCCCACAUAGCUGACCUCUUCAGGUCUCACCACAUGCAGACCAUCCACGUAUUUGCCAGCUCAGAAAAAUAUUUAGUUUUCUUUUAUGAUAAUCACCGAUUGAUUACUUACUCCUUGCUCCACGCGGCCAACCAUAAUUUAGUCCCAGCGUUUUGGUGUCCCUAUCUCUCCCUAAUUUACUCUCCCACUAAUUGAUUUGCCGUGGCUCUCUUUAUCUUCCACGGUAGGUCAUCAUCUCCCCAAUAAACUCUCCUGCCAAUUGAUUUUUCAUGGAUCUCUUUAUCUUCUACGGCAGAUUAUCUCCAUCCUUCCACCAAACAAACACAACCUGGAGAUGCAGACCUUGAGGCCCUGCGCCAUGGAGAGGAUGGUCAACAUGGUUACUUGACGAAGUGGCCCUCCACAAGCCCAAACCUGAAGAACCUGCACAGGAUGGCAGCACCAUCUUCAUCUGCAGAACGUGCAGUCAUCGCCGAUCCACCGCUCAGGCCAGAAUCUGGCUGUCUUGGGGCCCAGUUGUACUCCAUCCGCCCCAUGGAGUUGGGCAGUAAUUCAUCAUCCACCGACACGUAUCUUGGUGUCGUCCGGGAAGACCUUUCCUUCGAUGGCGCCGUUGACCUCGCCUACGAGCCGGUAACUAAUCGUUUACCUUAAUCCCUAAUUAAAUAUCUAAAAUUUACCUCGAGGGGCUGUUAAUUUCGCUUCCUGCAUGUAUGUUUCCUCUCAUACAAGUUAUAGUAUUGGCGAAAUUUGGAGUUCCUACAAGUUAUUAAGUAUUGGGCGAAAUUUGGAGUUCCUUAUGUGCCUCCCACGCUCACGCCAUCCGAUUCAUGUCAGGGAGGUUCUUACCAAAUGUCUCCACACAAGCUUUGUGGAUUGGAACUAGGAGUGCAAAUUAGUUUUCUCUAUUAAGGAUUUGAUAGUGAAGCACUGGCACCCGCUCACUAGAUAGCGGGACCACGUCUGUCUUGGGCUCAUGCUGGAUGCGCGCUGACUACCACGCGAUGGCUCGCUUCUCCAUAGUGCCAAUAUGCCUACUGCCACUAGGUGGCUUUUUUCUUAUUUCUUUUAUGCUUUCUUUGGGCAUGAUUUUGUUGUUGCCCUAGCCAGCCAUACGUGUUGCUUUGUCACUAUGUAUUGGGAUGUUUGCUUUAUCUACAAAGCGGGGCGAGCCUAUUUCGAGAAGAGCACAAGGUAGCCUGAGCUGAGCUGAAUCCAUUGCUAGCAUAUGGUGUCGGGGACGGUGGAUGCCGCUGCCGGACCAAAUGGACUACACGCCAUAUUUCAUAGUCCUACUACAGUAGUACCCUGAUUCUUGGAAGAGGAUUUGUGACUCUCGAGUGCCACACAACCCUAUAUGAAUAUAGAAUUAAAAGACAUAUUAGGAAAGAAGACAAAAAAUUCAUAUGCGUGGAAAAUAACUAGAUGUAACGUAUGUCCAACCAUAAUUCCUGUGCCGCGGAUACCACAGGCACCCAUUCCCCACAAAAAUGAACACAGGUGUACCAUGGGCGCUCAUGUUUCAUAUCCCAAAAAUUUAGAAUUUUUUGAAAUUUCCUAAUAUUUUUUAAUGCAUUUUCAUAUAGGGGUGUGUGUACCCGGGUGCUCCAACGCAUUUCCCCCUUAUUCUUCUGCUACCUUGCUCGUCUAGCAGUAAUACAAUGGGUCUAAAGCUGCACUGAUUUCUCUAGUAACAUGAUUCAAAUUUUCUACUUAGGGCAACUCCAACCGAUCCCCUAUCCGGCGUUAGAGGAGGAUAAUUUCGGCUUUUCUCCUCUAACGUGCACCUAGCCGAUCCCCAUUAACCGUUAGCAGAGGAUAAAUUAUACUCCGGCGCCUAUCCCACCCCUAUUUUUACUCCGCCGCUACCGCACAAAACAUAACUCUUGGGCCUCUCCCUCACCACUACCUCUUCGCCGACCCCCGCUGCUAUCGCGUUGCCUCCCUUGGCCCUUGCCGCCCAUCUGCCCGAAACCAAGCCCGUUCGUCCACCGUCGCCGGAAUCAGGUGAAACGCCACCGCCUUGCCAUAACCGAUUCGUCGGAUUGAUUCGUUUUUUCUUCCUCUUUGGCGGGCGCCGCUCCAGGCCUUGAUUCCACGCCGCUGCAGGUCAUUUUCACGCUUCGCCACCCACCGGUUUGUCCGAAAUGACGGCGGCUGGCCAGUGCAUCACCACCGCACCGCAAGUGUUCGACGAAUUGCCUAGGUGAGUUUUUUUGCUCGUUUCUUUUUUAACCGAGCCAUAGCCGUUUGAAUUGUAGAUGAAGAGGUUGAGGGAGAUGGUCUUCGAAGACUCGUCGUCAUCCGAAGAGGAAGAAGACGACGAAGACUUUGAAACCCUUUUAGGCAUGAUUUUCAAUGAUGAUAUUCGGCGCCCUAGGAGGGGAUCGCGGUUUGGCCGCAUGCACAUCAAACGUGAUAGAGCAGAGGGUCAUGCCAAGAUCAUGAGGGACUAUUUUACUUCGAAGCCAACCUAUCCAGGGAAGUACUUUCGUCGGCACUUUCGGACGCACAGAAGUCUUUUUCUAACGAUUGCAAAAGCCGUUGAGAAGUAUGAUGACUGGUUCAAGCUCCGGAGAAAUGCAAGUGGAGAGAUGAGUGCAAAUCCUCUAACGAAGUGUGUUGCGGUUGUUUGAGUCUUGGCAUAUGGGUGUUCAGCCGAUGCCGUUGGCGACUAUGUCCGCAUUGCUGAAGACACAAUCUUGGAGGCUGUUCGAAGGUUCACUAAAGCAGUGAUCGAUGUUUUUGGACCCGAGUACUUGAGAGCACCCACCGAGGAAGACACCCAGAGGCUGAUGACCGAGAGUGAAGAAAGAGGAUGGCCAGGGAUGCUUGGAUCACUUGACUGUAUGCACUGGACAUGGAAAAAUUGUCCUGCAGAGUGGAAGGGUCAGUACAAAGGCCACUGCAACGAUCCAACGAUCAUUCUUGAGGCAGUUGCAUCGAAGGAUCUUUGGAUAUGGCAUUCAUUCUUUGGUUUGUCUGGCUCUCACAA